AUCGCUUCUCGGCCUUUUGGCUAAGAUCAAAGUGUAGUAUCUGUUCUUAUCAGCUUAAUAUCUGAUACGAAAGUCAUUGACUUUCCAGUAUAUUAAACUGAUUUUUGGAACUGGGAUGGGGUCGUGAAGCUUGCUUCCGCCCGUCCACGGGUCGGCCUGGCAUUGCAGUACAGUCAGGAUCGGCCCACCUGAA
rfam:Folsomia candida strain VT population Fcan01_Sc008, whole genome shotgun sequence.